rnacentral:lncRNA from 1 species
AACAACAAGUCUACCCCCCGAAGUGCAUGAAAUGCUAUAAAGGACUGGGACAUUAGCAGACUCGGGCACCCUGUAAAAUAGAGAAAGAAAGCAGGACAAUUGCUCUGAGUCAUGACUGAUGCAAUCUGGAUACUGCAAGGCUCUCUUCUGCUCCUCUGAAGCUCCAAAACUUUGUGCUUAGAGGCUGCAAUUGCUUGAAAAGAGGAAUGUGAAAUCACCAUCUACA